UCAAUUAAAUAUAUAUAUCUGUUGUAUAUUGUUGAACUAACAUGUUGCAGUGCCUCCUCGGACCUAUCGGUCGAGCUUUUCCCUUGGGUGGCCGUACCCACUGGGAACCAUGGUGUUGGUUCUCACCCCACGUUGUUUCGGGGUGUUUUUAGCUUGUACGUGUGUAGCGCGGCGGCUCAAGGCGAUGGCGUAGCGUCGUAGAUAGCGCCCUACCCCAGAGACCGAGGUAGCAGUACCCGAGUUGGUGGUCUAACUUGAGAGGUUUAGAGACUAAGUACAAACUUGUAAUAAAUUGUAAUAAUGUAAUUGUAUUUGGAAGUUCAGCAAAUGUAAAAGAGAAAUAUUGUAUGAAAUGAAUGCGUGUAAUAGCAGUUAGUUUUAUGUAUUUGAUACUUCCUUAUGCAAUCUGGAUUGAUAUCCGUUCCUAGUUGGGACAUUCGUUGAUUGUUUGGAUUGCGACGCCUAGAACGUAUAGGGGAGACUCUAUCCGCGUACAGGGGAAACCUCGGUCCGUUCGGCGGUCUGUCGUCGGCGCCACGACCCGGUCCAAAUUGGCGGUAGGUCGCGGGGUGUGACAGAUAAAGUGGUAUCAGGGAAUAAAGUAGAAAAUAAAAAAAAUAAGGUAGACGGACCUAGGAGACCCUAGGAUAGUGAAACCAUAGAAGAAUAAGGCUCGUGAGAGACGAGAACUUGUGAUACGUGGCGAAAGGUGAUGGAUUGGGUCGUGUCAUAACCUCUAAGACGGAUGUUAGAGGUAGACUCAAGGUAUGGUUUAUUCUCGACCGAGUGUGUUUAUGUUGCGCGCGCACAACAUGAAGUCGAGUGACGAGAAUAGACGUCCUUGUUUGACUUUCGCCUGAUUGGCUUUUGAGCCGUGUUAGUGGUCUUGUGUUCGACCCAAGUUGGUUGAGAGCUAAUCGAGUUGUCCUGUUUCAGGAAGCGAUGGCACGGCGUAGGCGAUCUUCGUCCAAAUCGGCGUAGAAGGGGACAAGUGGUGUCCCUGAGCAAACCGAUGCGAGCAGAGACUCGGAGCUUUGUGAUCAGCUGGCCACACUUGUAAGAGUGAUGAGGCAACAAGCUGAUAUGGUGCAGCGGCAGCAGGAGGCUGCUUCGCGCCAGGAGGAGCAAAUGAAAAGACUCCAAGAAGUGGUAGGUCAGUUGGUGACAGCACCAGCUGCGGCUGGUCGAGAGCAGCCGAGAGUCGCGGCGGAGCUGUUUCCGUCAGGGUCGGGCGAUCCGACUUCUGUUGGUCCAGAGGUAGCUGCGGAGAGGGAGCGAGCUUUAGCAGCCCUUAUGGCUUUCAAGAAGUUCCGCCUACCUUCGAUGGAGAGGAUGCAGAUCCAUGGGUCGUUGAGAUGUGGAUCGAUUCCAUGAAAACACUCUUCGAGGAUCUGUACACGUUGGAGCGAGACAAGGUAAGCCUAGCCGUGCAUUACCUGAAACAAUCGGCGAAGGUGUGGUGGAAAGGCGUCAAGCAAGAUCGAUCGCCUAGUCUCCCUCCUAUGGCUUGGGAAGAGUUUCGGGGAUUGGUGUUCUUGGCCUAUUUCCCCGACAGUGAAAAGCGAAAGCUCAAGGAGAGGUUUCUUAAGCUGCGGCAAGGGAGUCGCACGGUCAGGCAAUAUGAGCGGGAAUUCUCCCGUAUUGUGUAUUGUAUCCCGAACGUGGUGCGGGAUGACAAGGACAAGGCCGACUGCUUUGUGCGUGGACUUCGGCCAGACUUGUACCAGGCAGUGCUCGUGCUUAAGUUGCAGACUUUCGCUGAAGUCCUGGAUCGGGCCUUGUGGAUAGAACAAGGCAAUGCGUUCCUGCGGGAGAAGCGCGAGGAGUACUACAAGGAAAAGGGGAAAGGACGGCCAAUGAGUGGGCACGAUGGUCAGUCAAGUUUCCAACAGACCUUAGUGAGGACGCGCUCUCGAUCUAGAGCUCCGGGGACGUAUCACAUUCGGUCCUCGGCGAGAUGUGUGAUUCGUGGGGGCCCUCAUUUUCCACAGCAAUGUGAACAGCGAGAGAGCAAGUGCUUCAAGUGUGAGCUACCGGGCCAUAUGCUGGACGAGUGUCCGCAAGGUGAUAGCUGGGCCUUGACACUAGCAACGACCUAUUCCUCUCCGGGACAGCUGGCAGGUGUGCCACCUGCGGCAUGGUCCGGAGAGCGACCGUUGAGGGUGAUGCAACCAGAGGGUUCGUGGCGAGCGCCAAGUGGCCAUGGAUAAGCGACCCGAGUUGCGGUGCCUGCCGUUGUCGACGUCGUCGUGGCAGGUAUGAGUUAAUUGAGCAAACAUAUUUUUGCAUGAUCUCAAGUUGAAGCAUAGCAUGCAUUCAUCGUUGGUCAGUUGCUACUAUUACUAUAUUACAUAGUAGGGGCCGAGUGGUCGGGUAAGUAGGCACCCGAGCAUGCUAGCAGGAUGAGAGUAUAGCGCCUGCUGGGGCAAGUAGGAAGCCAAUGGUACUAGCAAAUGGCUAGUGGUGAUUUUGGACAGGAAACGAGGCUCGCAAUGGAAAUCGAAUGGGAAAGGACUCUAAAGACAAUGGAUUAGAAAUUGCGAGAGUGAGUCAUGAUGUUUGGGGACACCCGAAUAUUCUAAGAGUAUUUCGAAUGCGGAUUCGGUAGAUCGAACAGUGGUGAUGAACCACUGUUGCGAAAUUGGUCGAUUAGCGCCGAGCUUGGCCUGUAGGCCUAGUAGUACCUCGAGUUGAGGUGGACGAGUUGUGCUUGUGUGGCCGGUGUGCAUAGGCUAAGCUGCCUGAUGCUGGACUUCGUGUGAGACGCUGUAGAGGCAUAGAGCGCUCGAGUAUAGAUACUCGUAGAGUGCAGUUUCGAUACAGCCGGUCGAGUGAAUUGGCAGUAGCACUUCAGCAGGGCUAAAUGUGAAGCGGGCCAUGGAUCACUCGUGGGGGCUGGUGGCUCGCACUAGAUGCUUAGGAGCCGAUAGAGUGUGUAGCUCUGUAGAGCAUGCCGUGUAGGACGACGUUGGCGGGUAGUGCUUAGGGACGACCCGUGCCUGGACCAUUUGUGGACUGUGGAGCCUGGGCCCGUUGGGCAGGCGCAGUCAGCUGUGAGAGACAGCGGCCCGAUACCUAUAGGUAGGGCAGAGAGUUUUGGUCAUGACGGUAGUCCGAGCUUAGACCCGAGUACGUGGAAUGCCACGCAUUGGAUCGUGAGAUCGAUACUACACCAAGCGUGUAGCGACCCGACCCGAGGACUCGACGGGGUGCGAGGACUUGGAUGCUCCUAGUUGGAGUGUGCGCGAAUGUCACGCCCCGGGACCCAGCGGAAGCCCGCCCGGCACGUGUCCAGACCCGCCAUACGUCUAAAACGUAUAAGGCGUCUAAAAACAACAGUAAUAAAGCAAUAACAAAAGGCAUCUAGGAGUAUCAGAGUAUAAAGAAUAUCUAAAUGCUACAACAAGAAAUAAGGAUGAAACUAUAAAUCCACUAAGUAAAACAUAAAGUAAAUACAAUAGGAUUCCCAAANUCUCGAGAUCGAACUUUUAGGCCGGUAUACCAUCGACGGCCCUCCACCAAGUGUGGAAAAGUUCGGAAUACACAUCGAACACUCGAACCUUGCAAUUUGCAAAGGUCCAGUGUGCUACAGCGAAUUCUCCAAUGCGAAUGUCGCCCGAUGCCGAUUGGGUUACGCUUGCGAGCGAGAGACGCUAGGCGUUGUUGAGACGAGUUAGGCGAUUGACCUACGUAGGAAUUGGUGGCCUUAGUCCACCUGAGGAAAAUGUUGAUUGGUGUAGCCGAAAACUCUAUUAGUGAGUUGGGCUUAGAUCCGCGAUCGAAGGGUUCGUGGAGUGUUGGACGUGGCUUGUGGUGUCGAGGAUAAAAAGAAAGUAAAGUGGUCUCUAGGAGACACUUGAAUAAUGGAUAGCCACGCGAAAAGUUGGAGUUGAGGAUGAUGCUCUCAAGAGGAUUGAGAAUCUAAGAUGCACGAGAGAAUGCCAUCUCGUGAUAGAUGGGAAUGAGAUGGUACAGAUAAGAUGGUAUGGAUAAGAUGAUUGGGUAGCAUCAGGCUCCCAAAUAGCCAGGUUGGUGAAAUGCCACCUAGUGGGUACUUGAGUAAUUCGAGAAAGUCUACUCGUGCAUGUAGAGAUGUGGUGGUGGUUCGUUCAUCGAGUUGAUGCAAUCUUGCUGGAUCCACACCACUGGGAUGAAGGGGUAGCCCUGAUCUCGACGGGAGAUGAUGUUCGUUAGAGCCGCGAAGGAAUGAGUCCUUCCUUAAGCCGAGUGGCUGGUGAUGUUAGUGUGUGGGGUCUUGAGUGUUGACUCACACCACCAUCGAGAUUUGUAAAGUGGUAAUGCACUUUUGAUGUUGCAAGUGGAGAAAUGUGAGUAAACGCGGUCUCACAUUCUUCGUAGUGGCCUUUAGAUGAGUUUGAUGGGAAUAAAGGCCACUCCGAGAUGCAAAAGUGCAUUGGAACCCUUGAGUACUCGAGAAGUGGAUCGAGGAAUAAAAAAAGGGGUUAGAAAUGAGUGAGUUUCGAGGACGAAACUCAUUUUAAGAGGGGGAGAAUGUCAUACCCUGAAUUCUCCAAAUUCGAGAGUUGCGCUUCAACCAGAAUCGACUAAUGGUCGAUUGGAUAAGCUUUGGAAAAGCUUAGGAUGCACAAAAUCCAAAAAGUGCAUUGGAAUGGAGUCCGCGAGGGCAAAUUAUGCAAAUUGCAUUAUUGGGUAGAAGUUGCUCUCGGGGACCGGUCUCUGGUUGGAGAGACCGGUCCCAUCAGCAGAGGCUGGGGUCGCUGGUGCGACCGGUCCCUGGACAGGGAGGGACCGGUCCCCGUAGGUGAUUCCAGCGCAAAUAGCCAAAAAUCGGCUAAGUCCCACGAGAUGAGCUCUCCGGGACCGGUCUCUUUUGGGCAGACCGGUCUCCGGGGGACCGGUCCCUCAGGGAAAGACCGGUUCCCGAACGCGUGCUGUCUGGGAGAGCUCUCAAGGACCGGUCCCUGGUCAGGGAGACCGGUCCCUCCGCGCGCGGAACGCCCAGUGAAGGCUGUGUAAGAGAUGAAAAGUGGAGGGGCUUAUGUGCAAAAUGGCAAUAUGAGAGGGUAUUAGAGAGGGGCAUCUCUCUCUCUCUCUGUCCCACUCCCUCACACUCUCCCUCACUGUCUCUCUCUCUCGCUCCGAUCGUGCGGAGGAAAAGGAAAAGAAGAGAAGAGAGGAAGGAGAAAAAAGAAAGGAAAAGAGAAGAGGAAAAGAAGGAGAAGAUGGAGGAAAAGAAGAGGAUCAUCACCAUCAUCAUCCUCUUCAUCUUUUUCUUCCCCUUGGAGCUCUUAGAGAGGUAAGCUUCCAAGCCCUCUCAUGGUAGAUCUUUAGAGAUAGGGUUUUGAUCUCUAAAGUUGGUUUGUUUGGAACCCUAGCAUGCUAUUUAGAGGGAUUAUACCCAAAUCAUGAAGGGAUUUGGUGGAUUGAGUAGAAAUAGCAUCUAGGUUAUCCAAAAUGGGAUUUUGUGAUUUUGGAGGGUUUGAUCUCAUUUAACCCUCUAUUAACCUAAUUGGUAGGUAAUGAAACACGUUGGUGAAGUCGGUUCGGCAAUCCGACAAGCCGUUGCUAAGAUUUCGAAGAAACGGGCGCUUGGGGCCUCGUUUCCGCCUGGAAGGCUGAGGCGACGUCUAUAAAUCGUGAAAUCGGGCCCCGAGCACCGUAGCAGCAAGGCGAAGACCUUUAGCACUUGAAAUGGCGAAGCAGCGUGCUCUUGGGGAGCAACUGUGAGGUCGGGCCCAAACGAGUGCCGAGUGUCGCGGGAGGCCGAUUGCAAGUGUCGACAAGCAAUCGGAAAGCUAACUAAGGUGGGUUGUGCUUACCGAAGCGACUAGGUCGCCCUUUAUGUCUAAGCAAUGUAAUCUCAUGUUGAUGCAUGUGCAUAUAGACGAGAACAAGUAAUGCAUGAUGAAUGAUAAGGCAUAGAGUAAAAUGCUAAGUAACAAGCAUGAUGAACAUGAAAUGUAAAUAAUGUUAGCUAAAGUAAAGAAUGCAUGGUAACAACAAUGCAUGGAUGAAAAUGCAUAAUCGGCAUUAAGGAAUAUGCUAGGAGGAUAUGCAUAUAAACUAGACAAUAACUCUAGUAUGAGCGGAGUUGAUUGGACAACUAGGUUGUCAGGUAGAUCGAGUGGCAUCUAACCUAGUGUUAAAGAACAUAGGUUAAACAAGUGAACCUAGAGUCGAACAAUCUAGGUGUGUGGCAUCAAACCUAGUGUUAAUAAACCUAGGUCGAACUAGUAAACCUAGAAAUGGACAUCUAGGCUAAGAGGACAUGAACCUAGCAAUUGUAACUAGAUUAAGUGACAUGGACAUAGUACCUAGAGUGUUGAAACCUAGGUUGAUAGGUAUAGUGGUAUAGCCACUAGGAUGAGCUAGGUCGACAGUAUAGGAUUGGCUAUGGACCCUCGACUUGUGGAAAGUGGAUUCCGGAAUCCCAGGAUUUGUGAUAACCCUGGUAUCAAGCUAGGGCGUGUGCGACGACUUCGCCGCCGAGGUUGAUACCGAGGGAGGAUUGGGGGCGAUCACAUGGAGAUCACCGCCCGGGGAUUGAACCAUUGUCGUGGCGUUUGUGCGACGAUUUCGCCGCCGGAUGGUUAAGCCGAUUGAGGAUCAGACCGCCAGCGUAGACUGAAUCCAGCUGGGUAAGUACGAUGCGGGUGCGUCCAGGUGGCUAAGUCUGACAUGUACCGUUGUUGGGUGAGGUGCGAUCCGUUCGCCGCCAGACGGUGUAUCAUGUCUCAAGCUCACGCUAGGUAAGAGCAACGUGAUCGCCGCCAGAUGGUCAAGUCAUGCGACUUGAGCCGUGCUUUGCGUGUGCGAUGACUUCGCCGCUAGGGGGCUGCGACAGAGAGAGGGUGGUAGGCUGAUGAGCAGCCAGUGCCCGGACUAUCCGCAGAUGAUUGACUCGAAGCCGAGUCGGGUGGUUAGCUAUGAUAGGGUAGAGGAACCCUUAUGAGCUAGAAAUAGAGGCUUGAGCUAAGGUAAUAGAGACCUUAGAAGCUAGUGGACUGAGUUGAGAUCCUAAGGUAAUAGAACCUUAGAGUAAAGAUAUGAGCUAAGAGUAGCCAAGUAAAGUGUAGAAUCAAUUGAUCUACUAGUUGUUGCAUAGAGUUGUAUGAUUUUCAUAUCGCAUAUCGUGAGGCAUAGCAUGUAUUUCAAUUGAAUAUAUAUAUCUGUUGUAUAUUGUUGAACUAACAUGUUGAAGUGCCUCCUCGGACCUAUUGGUCAAGCUUUUCCCUUGGGUGGCCGUACCCACUGGGAACCAUAGAGUUGGUUCUCACCCCACAUUGUUUCGGGGUGUUUUCAGGUUGUACGUGUGUGGCGCAGCGGCGCAAGGCGAGGGCGUAGCCUCGUAGAUAGCGCCCUACCCUAGAGACCGAGAUAGCAGUACCCGAGUUGGUGGUCUAGCUUGAGAGGUUUAAAGACUAAGUACAAACUUGUAAUAAAUUGUAAUAAUGUAAUUGUAUUUGGAAGUUCAGCAAAUGUAAAAGAGAAAUAUUGUAUGAAAUGAAUGCGUGUAAUAGCAGUUAGUUUUAUGUAUUUGAUACUUCCUUAUGCAAUCUGGAUUGAUAUCCGUUCCUACUUGGAACAUUCGUUGAUUGUUUGGAUUGCGACACCUAGAACGUAUAGGGGAGACUCUGUCCGCAUACAGGGGAAACCCCGGUCCGUCCGGCGGUCUGUCGUCGGUGCCACGAUCCGGUCCAAAUUGGCGGUAGGUCGCGGGGCGUGACAAUGGCACCGGUGGAGUUAGUGGAGCUAAAAGUCCAAUUGCAAGACUUGCUCGAUAAAGGCUUCGUUAGGCCGAGUGUGUCACCGUGGGGAGCUCCGGUGCUAUUUGUGAAGAAAAAGGACGGCACACUUCGACUCUGCAUAGAUUAUCGCGAGUUGAACAAAGUAACGAUAAAGAACAAGUACCCGUUGCCAAGGAUUGACGAUUUAUUCGAUAAGUUGCAAGGGUCCAAGGUGUAUUCGAAAAUGAUCUCCAAUCGGGGUAUCAUCAAUUAAAGAUAAGGCCGAAGGAUGUGCACAAAACGGCGUACCGUACACGGUAUGGCCAUUAUGAGUUCACGGUAAUGCCGUUUGGGCUUACUAACGCCCCGGCAGCAUUUAUGGACUUGAUGAAUCGAGUCUUUAGGCCNNNNNNNNNNNNNNNNNNNNNNNNNNNNNNNNNNNNNNNNNNNNNNNNNNNNNNNNNNNNNNNNNNNNNNNNNNNNNNNNNNNNNNNNNNNNNNNNNNNNNNNNNNNNNNNNNNCUAAGUUGAAGAAAUGUGAGUUCUGGUUGACGGAGGUCACAUUUUUGGGCCACGUGAUAUCGGGCGACGGAGUGUCGGUAGACCCGAAGAAAGUUGAGGCAAUAAAGGAUUGGCCUCGCCCGACAAGUGUAGCGGAGGUCCGCAGUUUUCUCGGACUCGCGGGCUAUUACCGGCGGUUCGUGGAGGGGUUCGCUAAAAUAACUACUCCAAUAACGCGCCUUACUCACAAAGGAGUAAAGUAUGUCUGGAGCGACGAUUGCGAUCGGAGCUUUGAGGAGUUAAAGAACAGGUUGACGUCGACCCCGAUGCUUGCCUUGCCGACUCCGGGGGAGACCUUUGUAGUAUACAGUGAUGCCUCAUAUGUUGGUCUCGGGUGUGUAUUAAUGCAAAAUGGGCGAGUCAUUGCAUAUGCAUCUCGCCAAUUGAAGAGUUAUGAGAGGAACUAUCCGAUUCAUGACCUUGAGUUAGCCGCGGUGACUUUCGCGCUAAAGCUAUGGAGGCAUUACCUAUAUGGUGAGUAUUGUGAAGUCUACACAGAUCACAAGAGCCUCAAGUACUUGUUCACCCAGAAGGAAUUGAACAUGCGACAGUGGCGGUGGUUAGAGUUGCUAAAGGACUAUGAUGUCACUAUACUAUACCACCCGGGNGUUGGGACCUCUUCUGUUGCAUUGUUUAGAUUGUUACGCCUAGAACGUACAGGAAAAGCUCUGUCCGUUCGGCGGUCUGUCGACGUGGCCAAAUCCGACCAAAUUGGCGGAGCUCGGGACGUGACAGAUUAAGUGGUAUCAGAGCAUAAAGUAGAGAAUGAGAAAAUAGUUUAGACUGACCUAGGAGACCCUAGGAUAGUAAAACCAUAGGAGAAUAAGGUUCGUGAGAGGCGAGGACUUAUGAUUUGUGGCGAAAGCUUAAUGGAUUGGGUUGUGUCGUAAACCUCUAAGACGGAUAUUAGGGGUAGACUUGAGGUGUGGUUUAUUCUCAGCCGAGGAUGUUCAUGUUGGCGUACGACAACAUGAAACCGAGUGAUGUGAAUAAACACCCUUGCGUGACUUUCGCCUGAUUGGCUUUUGAGCCGUUGUUAGUGGUCUCGCGUUUAACUCUGAGGGUCGAGAACUAAUCAAGUUGUCUUGUUUUAGGAAGCGAUGGCACCGCGUAGGCGAUCUUCGUCCAGAUCGGCGCGGGAAGGGACAAGUGGUGUCCCUGAGCAAUCCGACGUGAGCGGAGACUCAGAGCUUCGUGAUCAGUUGGCCACACUCGUAGGAGUGUUGAGGCAACAGGCUGAUGUAGUGCAGCGUCAGCAGGAGGCUGCCCUGCAUCAAGAAGAGCGGAUAAAGAGACUCCAGGACACGGUGGAUUAGUUAGUGACCGCACCAGUUUCGACUCGUCGUGUACGGCCAGGAGUCGCGGCGGAGACAUUUCAGUCGGGGUCGAGCAAUCCGACUGCUGUUAGUUCAGAGAUGGAAGCGGAAAGGGAGCGUGCUUUGGCGGCUCUCAUGACCUUCAAGAAGUUUGAUCCUCCUACUUUCGAUGGAGAGGACAUAGACCCAUGGACCGUAGAGUUGUGGAUCGACUCCAUGGAGACUUUGUUUGAGGAUUUGUACACUAUGGAGCGAGACAAAGUACAGCUAGCCGUGCAUUGUUUGCAACGGUCAGCGAAGGUGUGGUGGAAAGACAUCAAACGGAAUCGAUCGCCUAGUCUUCCUUCUAUGGUUUGGGAAGAGUUUCGGGAAUUAAUGCGUUCAACUUAUUUCUCCGAUAGUGAAAAGAGAAAGCUUCAGAACAGGUUUCAGAAACUACGACAAGGAGACCGCUCUGUGAGGGAAUACGAGCGGGAAUUUUCCCGUAUCGUGAGCUGUGUUCCGAAUGUGGUACAAGAUGACAAGGAUCGAGCUUAUUGUUUUGUACGAGGACUUCGGCCUGAUAUUUUUGAAGCAGUGCAUAAUCUAAAGUUACAGACUUUUGCUAAAGUCUUGGAUCGGGUCUUAUGGAUAGAACAAGGCAAUGCAUCUGUGCUGGAGGAGCGCGAAUCCUAUUACAAGGAAAAAGGAAAAGAACGACCAGCAAGUGGGUAUGAUGGUCAGUCAAGUUCUCAGUAGAUCUCAGUGAGUUCGCGCUCGCGAUCCCGAGCUCCGGGGACGUAUCGCAGUCGGUCCUCGGCAUGUUGUGUUAUUUGUGGGGGUCCUCACUACCCACAGCAGUGUGAGCAACGAGAUGGCAAGUGCUUCAGGUGUGGGCAGCCCGAUCAUGCGCGAGAUGAGUGUCCGUAGGGCGCUAGCCGAGCCCUGACGCUGGCGACAGCAUUUUCCUCUCCGGGACAGCUUGCAGGUGUGUCACCUGCGGCACGGGUUGGAGAGCGACAGAGGAUAAGGCAACCGAGGGGUUCGCGACAGGCAGCAAGUGGCCGUGGAUAGGCGACCCAUAUGGUGGAACCUGCUGCGACUGGUAGUAAUGUGGCAGGUAUGAGUUAAUUACAGCAAACAUGUCUCCUGCAUUAUGUAAAUUUAGUGCAUUGCAUGCAUUGGUUAAUUACGUAGUCGUUACUGCUAAAUGUGCGGUAGUAUCACAGAGACCAAGCAGAUGGGUAAAUAUCCUAGUUAUGCUUGUGCGUGGGAACGUAAUACCUGUUGAGGCAGGUAGAGAGUUCUAGAGCACUAGCAAAUCGCUGGUGAUAGCUUGUGAAUAAAGAGUGGAACUCGUAGUAACAAUGGCAAUGGUUGACCAACUCUCAACACUAAUGCGAGUUGCUGAUUGCGAGAGUCUAGUCGCAAUGUUCGUGGAACUCUGGUGAGAUCGAGCGUUUUGCAGAUUGUUCCGAUAGAUCGAACAUUGAAAGUAGAAUCACUGUUGAUGAAAUGCUCGGUCAGUGGUCAGGUGCGUGCACGUGGACCUAGUAGUACCUCGGAUUGAGGUAAGUGCGUCGUGCUCGUGUAAUCGGUGUGCAUAGGCAAGAGUUGCCUAAUGCUAGACUUAGUAUGGCACGCGAUAGAGUCGUGUAGAGCGCUCGAGUAUAGGUACUCGUAGAGUGCUGAUUUAAUUCAGCCGUGAGUGUGCUGGCAAUAGCACUUUAGCAUUGCUAGGUGCGAAGCAGGCCAUGGAUCACUCGUAGGGCUGGUGGCUCGCACUAGGUGCUUAGGAGUCGAUAGUGGUACUUGUAGCUCUGUAGAGCAUGCCGUGUAGGACGACGACGGCGGGUAGUGCUUGGUGACGAUCCGUGCCUGGACCCUGUGUGGAUUGUGGAGCCUGGGCCCAUUGGGCAGGCGCAGUCAGCUGCGAGAGGCAGCGGCCCGGUACUUACGGGUAGGCAGAGAGUUUUGGUCAGGACGGUAGUUCGAGCAUAGACUCGAGUACGUGGAAUGCCACGUGUUCGAUCGUGAAAUCGAUGAUGCACUGAGAGUGCGGUUGUGACCCAACCCGAGGACUUGGCGUGGUUUGGGGUCUUGGUUGCUCCCGAUUGUAGCAGAUAUGCGAUAUCUCAAAUGAGAACGGUGUCUCGUGAUAAUUGGGUCUACGCUUGCGAGCGAGGGACAUUGAGUUAAGUGAUAGGACUAGCAAAUCGCCGAUCCAAUUUGCGAACAAAUCUGUGGUAAUUGAGACGAGUAAUUACCCAUGUGCAUUGGAAGUGAGUGUUUCGAACAUGUCCAAGUAAAGGAUAGUGUAUAGGGACCGUGAGAGCGAAGGCUCGGUCCUGUGAAUUAUUUAGUCAGAAUUGCUAAGAUAAGCAUCGAUGACGAGCUGGGAUUGGAAACGCGAAUAAAGGGUUCGUAGAGACUGAUUCGGAGGAAUCAGGGUAGCAUAGAAUGAAAUUCAGAAGCUACGGAAUGAUAUGAUUUUACAUGUUGAUGAUUGUUGGAACUUAUCUCCCUCCGUUAGGGUAAAUAGAAGAAUAUGUAUCUAAGUUUCGCGGACGAAACUUUUGUUAACGGGAGGAGAUUGUAAUAUAUGGAAACCUUGAGUUGCGAUGCUAACUUUGAUCUAGGGGAUCAAAGUGAGGAUUGCGCUGGUUGGACAUCAUCCCCGAGUGAUUUUGGACGCGUGAGAAUGAAUUUCGGAGAUUAAUAAGUGUUUCGGCGCAAAUUGGGUGCGAAACGAAAUUAUAAAGAAAAUUGCGGAUUUCCGAUGCUAACUUUGAUUAAAAGAAUUAAAGGGAGCAAAGUAAUAUAAAAUGGUAUGAGAUACCAUUUGAUUGGACUUAAGGGUGUAAAACAUAAGUCUGGAAUGACUCGUGUUGAAAUCGGAGCGAAAACAGAAGAUUUAGAAUUUUCUGUAAAGAACGGGACUGAGAAAUUAGCAGAAAAUGCACAGUGUCAGAAAAUUAUGAAAAUUGGCAGAGAUGUCAGGAAUGUUUUUAUGAGGCUAUAUUUGAAGUUUCAGAUUAUUCUGACACCCGUAGAGAGAGAAAUUGGAUCCGAAAGCUAUCGGAUAAAGAUUGCAGUUCGGUACAGUUCGCAGUGACCAAACGGGGUCGGAACUGAAAUGUUAAAAUUUCUUUGGACUUGUUAAGUAAAACCGAACAUGCCUGUCAAAUUUGAGCUCAAUCGGACAUUUGGAAGGAACUGCGAAAGGUGAUUGAUCCGUGUCGCCAAGUUGUAAUACUCGAGGGGCAAAAUGGUAAAUAUCCUAGGCUUAGUGGAUUUCCACUAAACCUGCCAGGCAGCCCCCUCCAUCCUUAUCCCCCUUCACCCUGCCAUACGUAGAGAGAGAGAGAGGGAGAGGAAGAGCAAAAGAAAAGAGAAGAAGAAGAAGAAGAAGAAGAAGAAGAAGAAGAAAAGAGGUAGGAUUUUACCUUUCUUCCUCUCGCCCCCUCUCCCUGCUGCUACUGGUUGUAGCAGCAGCAGGAGUAGCACCAGCAGCUGCUGGAGCAGCAGUGGACAGCAGCAGCAGCUGCUGGAGUAGCAGCAGCAGCAAGCUGCUGGAGUAGCAGCAGACUGCAGCUUAGCAGCAGCUGCAGCUUAGCAGCUGCAGCUUAGCAGCAGCAGCAGCAAGCUGUUGCAGCAGCAGCAAGCUGUUGCACCAGCAGCAGCAUGCGCCAGCAGUAGCAGCAGCAAUAGCAUCAGCAGCAGUAAGCUGCUGCAGCAGCAGCAGCUCAACCAGCAGUAGCAGCAGCAAUAGCAUCAGCAGCAGCAGCUGCAGUAGUCAGCAGCAGCUGCAGCAGCCAGCAGUCAGUAGCAGCUAGCAGCUGCAGCAGCCAGCAGCUAAGCCAGCUGCUGGAGCAGCAGUUGACAGCAGCAGCAGUUGCUGGAGUAAUAGCAGCCAGCAGCAGUAGCAUUAGCAUCAGCAAGAAGCAGCAGCUCAGCUGCUGUCAGCAGCAGGAGAGCAGCAGCAGCUAGCAGCAACAACAGCAGCUUGUAGUAGCUGCAGCAGCACAGCAGCACAGUAGCAGCAGCAGCUAAAGCAGCAGCUAGCAGCAGCAGCCUGCUGCAAGCUGAGCUGCAGGGGCAGCAAGAAAAGAAAGAAAAGAAAAGAAAGAAAGGAAAGAAAGAAAGAUAGAAAGGAAGAAAGAGAAGAAAGAAAAGAAAGAGAAGAAAGAAAAGAAUGCAUUAUGAAUAUAUGAUAUAUGAAUGCAUUAUGAUCAAUGCUAGAUGAUGUAUAAUGAUAAUCCGAUGAUGAACAUGCUAGAGGCAUAUGAAUAUGUUGUAGAUCAUGCUAGAUACAUAUAAUUGUCGAUAUGUGAACGUGAAAGUUAAAUGCAUAAUUAUGCUAAAUUCAUAUGUUCAAAUACAUGAUAUAUCAAUGUUGAACCUGUAAAUGCCAAGGGCACGGCACGUAAGCUGAAUACGAAUUGUGAACAUAGAAGCUAAAGCCUACAUAAGUGUUGCCACAUAAAAGUGGAAGUUUAAUGCCUAUGUCUAAACAUAUAUAUAAGUGAAUGUAUUAUAGUUCAAGCUAUAUGAAUGUCGAUAAUUCUAAUUGACUGGAAACCUCGAUGGUAACAAGAUGAGUGAGAAUAUGAAAACUAUGAACCUCAUGUUAAAUCCCUAAGAAUUGGGUAUAAAUCGACAACUCCAGUUAAGUAGAAAUCUUGACGGUGACAAAGUAAAUGAAAAUGUGCAAAUUAUAAUCCUAGGCGUAGAUAACUAGAAUAAUAAAUAGAUCGAGUGGCAUGAACCUAAUGUAUAAACAUAGGUCGAACAUGAACCUAGUGUCAUUGGACAUAGGUCAAGUAAGUAAACCUAGAGUUGAGAUCUAGGUGAAAUAACAUAGAACCUAGUGUGAUUGGAUACCUAGGUCGUGACAUAUUGUAACACUUAGUAAAAUUGGACUAAGUUAUGCAGUAUAGUGGUAGAAAGACCACAUAAAGAUGAUUGAUAUUUUAGACCUAGAAAGGUUUGCAAAUAGGGUCAAAGAGUAAACCCUUAAGUUAUAUGAAAGGAUCCCGGAAUCUCAAGAUCUUGUGAAAACUUGGUAUUCAUGGCUAGGGCAAGUGUGGUCGACGAUUUUCGCCGCCUGCAAAGGGUUGAAUACCAAGGGCGGAAUUGGGUGUGUGCGACCGCAUUUCGCCGCCCAGGCGGGCUGACGCAUUGUUUCGGCGUGUGCGACGAUUUCGGCCGCAGAUGUUAAGCUAAGUUUGUGGAUCCUACCGCCUUGUGACUGAAACCACACUGUCGUGGCGUUGCGACGAAUUUCCGCCGCCGGGGUUGGCUAAGUCAAACUAGGCCGUUGUUGGUGAUGGUGCAUCCGUGUCGCCGCCAAAACGGCUAUGGACAAGGAGUAUUGUGAUGCUUUGCCCAGCUGAGGUGCAUGUGAGAGUUCCUUCACCUCGAGCUAGACAGUGCGCGACUAUCCGCGAUUGAUGACUCAAGACCGAGUCGGGUGGCUAGAAUGACUAAGGUAAAGUAAUCUCUUAGGAAAAUCGCCAGUGAGCAGCGAUAUGAUAGAGAUAAAGAAUAAGAAAAGAAACUAAUGAAUCGUAAAUGCUAAUAAAGACGGCUACAAGCUAAAGAAUGGUUAAAGAUAUAAAGUUUUAAAAGGACCCUUUUCGGUAAAUCUACUUGUUACAUAGUUUGCAUGGAUUACAUAUUGCAUAUCGCAGAGCGAAGGUAAUGGUUUAUUAAAAUUGUAUCACUCGAAUAUCUAUCUAUCAUGUUCCGUUUAUCUAACGGCUGCAGUUUGCUCUUUGGAACCUGGUGGUUCGAGCUCUUUUCUUGGGUGCCGUCACCACUGGGAAUCAACCUUUCCUAUUAUUCUCAAACCCCCUGUGUUGUUUUGGGGGUACAGUCUCGCACCUGGUGGAGCGGGCGCGGGGCGCGAGGACAGGCGUAUGCUUUCGUAAUAGCGGCCCUAUCACCGAGACAAGAUAGUAGUACCCUGAAAGCGUUCUAGCUCAGAGUUCAGUAUAAAGAAACAAACUUGUAAUCGAAUUUGUAUAAAUUGUAUAAGUAUUAAAAUUGUAUAAAGGCUUAUGUAAAAUUCUUAAAGACUGAAUGAAAUUUUUCUAACUUCUGUAAAUUGUGAGAUGAUGCUUUGUAAUAGCUUAGUUAGCCUUUUAAUGUUUUUGAUACUUAUGCAAUCUACAUACUGCUCACCUUUCCUUGUUGGACCUCUCUGUUUGCAAUUUUUAGAUUGGUUAACCCUACAACGUGACAGGCAAAAGGCUCUGUCCGUUCGGCGUCUGUCCGACUAGGGCCAAUCCGACCAAAUUGCAGGACCUCGGACGUGACAGAUUAAGGUGGCUAUCAGAGGCAUAAAGUAGAGAAUGAGAAAAUAUUUUAGACUGACUUUUAGAGAAACGCUAGAUAGUAAAACCAAAUAGAGAAUAAGGUUCCGUGAGAGGCGAGACUUAUGAUUUAGUGUGCGAAACUUAACUGAUUGGGUUUGUCGUAAAACCUUAACGACGGACUAUUAGGGGUAGACUUGAAGGUGUGUUAUUCCAGCUCCGAAGGAAUUUUUCAUCCGUUGGCCGUACCGACACAUGAACCGAGUGAAUUGAAUAAACCCCUGCGUGACCUUUCGCCUGAUUGGCUUUUGAGCCGUUGUUUAGUGGUCUCGGCUUUUAAAGCAUCUGAGGGUCGAGAACUAUAAUCGUGUCCGUUGUUUUAGGAAUCGAUGCACGCGUAGGCGAUCUCGUCAGAUCGGACGGGAAGGACCCAAUGGUGUCCAUCCUGAGCAUCCCGACGUGAGCAGAGACUUCAGAGCUCGUGACAGUUGGCCCACACUCAGAGUGUUGAGAGCAACAGGCUGAUUAGUGCAGCGUCAGCAGGAGCUCCCUGCAUCAACGAAAGCGGAUUCAAGAGAGCUCCAGGAACACUGGUGGACUAGUUUAGUGACGCGCAACAGUUUCGACUCGUCGUCGUACCGGCCAGGAGUCGCGGCGGAUACAUUAUCCAGUCCGGGUCGAGCAUCCGACUGCUGUUAGGUUUCAGAGAUGGAAGCGAAAGGGAGCGUGCUUUGGCGGCUCUCAUGACCUCAGAAGUUUGAUACCUCCUACUUUCGAAUGGAAGGUAACAUAGACCUCAUGGACCGUAGAUUGGGAUCGACUCCAUGAGAGACUUUGUUUUGAGGAUCUUUCAUCUAUGGAGCGAUGACAAAAGUAACAGCUACCGUGCAUUGUUUGCAACGGUCAGAACCGAAGGUGUGGUGAAAGACAAUCAAACGGAUAUCGAUCGCCUAGUCUUCCUUCUAUGGUUUGGGAAGAGUUCGGGAAUUCAAUGCGUUCAAUUAAUUUCUCCGAUAGCUGAACAAAGAACACGCUUCAAGAACAGGUUUCAGAACUCACGAAAGGAGAAACGCCUCUGUGAGGGAAUACGACGGCGAGUUUCCCGUAUCGUGAGCUGUUGUGUCCCCGAAUGUGGUACCAGAUGACAAGAGAUCGACUGAUUUGUUUUUCUGUAACGAGGCACUUGCGGCCUGAUGAUUUUUGAAGCAGUAUAAUCCAAGUUCAGACCUUUUGCUCGAAUCGUGGAUCGUGGCCCUAUGGAUAAAACCAAGCAUGCAUCUGGUGCGGCAGGACGGCGAAUCGUAUUAGCAAGAAAAAAGGAAAGAACGGCCAGCAAGUGGGUAGAUGGUCAGUCAGUUCUCAGCAGACCAGUUAAGUGAGUUUCGCCUCUAGCGAUCGCCUGAGCUCGCGGACUAUCGCAGUCGGGCUCUGCGGUCCUGUGUGAUUAUUUGUGGGCUCCUUACUACCACAAGCAGUGUUAAGCAAUGAAUGGCAAUGCUUCAGGUGUGGCAGUCCGGUCAUUUGCGCUGAGACGCGUGUCCGUAGGGCGCUUAUCCUAGCCCUGACGAAUGGCGAACGGGCAUUCAUUCCUCUCUGCGGACAGUCUGGAGUGUGUCACCUGCGGCACGGGUUGGAGUAGACGACCAGAGGAUUAAGGCAAACCCGAUGGGGGUUCGCGACAGGAAGCAAUGGUCGUUGAUAGGCGAUCCAUAAUGGAUGGAACUUGCUGCCGACUGGAGUCAUUGUGGCAUUAUGAGUUAAUGUACAGCAAGUAUGUCUCCUGCAUUUAAUGUUAAAUUUAGUGCCAUUGAUGCAUUGGUUAAUUAGCGUAGUUGUUACUGCUAAAUGUGCGGUAACGUAUCACAAGAGACCAAGCAGAUAGGUAACAUAUCCCAUUAUGCUUGUGAUGGGGGAACGUAAUAACCUGUUGAGUGCAGUAAGAGUUUACGAGGCACUACAGCAACUCGCUGGUGAUAGCUUGUGAAUAAAGAGUGGAACUCCGGUAACAAGGUCAAUGUUGACGCAAUCUCUCAACUAAUGCGCGAGUUGACUGAUUGCGAGAGUCUACGUCGGAACUGUUCGUGGAACUCUGGCUGAGAUCGAAUCGUUUUGCAGAUUGUUCGCGAUAGAUCGAAAACAUGAAAGUAGACAUCAAACUGGUGUGAUGAAAUGCUCGGUCACCCCCCCCAUUGGCAGCGUGCGUGCACGCGACCUAUAGUACUUCGAUUGAGGUAAAGGCGUCGUGCUCGGUGUAAUCGCUGGCAAUAGCAAGAUUGCCUAUGCUAGACCUUAGUAUGCACGGCGAUAGAGUCGUGUAGAGCGCAUCGAGUAUAGUACUCGUAGAGUGCUGAUUUAAUUCAGGGUGCCGUGAUGUGCUGGCAAUAAGCAGCUCUUAGCAUUGCUAGGUUGCAAGCACGCCCAUGAUCACGUCGUAGGGCAUGGUGGCUCGCACUAACGUUGCUUAUGAUCGAUAAGUGGUAGCGUGUACUCUGUAAGAGCAUGCCGUGUAGGACGAGCGACGGCCGGGUAGUGUUGUGACUGAUCCGUGCCAAGGACCCUCGUGUGGAUUGUGGAUCCUGGGCCCUUGGGCAGCGCAGUACUGCGAAGGCAGCGGCCGCGGAUACUUACGGGUGGCGAGAUUUUGGUCAGCGACGGGUAGUUCGAAGUCAUAGACUGCAGUCACGUGGAAUGCCACGUGUUCGAUUCGGAAAUCGAUGAUGCAGCUGAGAGUGCGGUUGUGACCCAACCCAGGCCUUGGCGUGGUUUGUCUUGUGCUCCCGAUUGUAGCAGAUAUGGCGAUUAUCUCAAAUGAAACGGUGUCUCGUGAUAAAAUGGGUUCUAUACGCCUUGCGAGCGAGGGACACUUUGAUUAAGUGAUAGGAUCUAGGCAAUCCGCGCGACCAAUUUGCGACAAAUCUGUGGUAAUUGAAGACAGUAAUUACCACAUGUGCAUCUGAAGUGAGUGUUCGAACAUAGUCCAAAAGUAAAGGAAGUGUAUAGGGACCGUGAGAGCGCAAGGCUCGGUCCUCGUGAAUAUUUAGUCAGAAUUGCACAGAUAAGCAUCUGAACUGACAGCUGGAUUGAAACGCGAAUAAAGGGUUCGUAUAGACUGAUUAGGCAGGAUCAUGGUAGCAAGAAUGAAAUUGCAGAAGCUACGAAAUGAUAUGAUUUUACCAUGUUGAUGAUUGUUGGAUAUCUUAUCUCGGCCUCCGUUAGGGUAAAUAGAAGAAUAUGUACUAAGUUUCGCAAGGACGAAACUUUUGUUAACGGGAGCAGAUCUUGUAUAUAUAUGGAACCUUGAUUGCGAUGCUAACUUGAUCCUAGGGGAUCAAAGGAAGAUUGCGGCUGGUUGGACCCUCAUCCCGAUGUGAUUUUGGACGCGUGAGAAUGAUUUCGGAGAUUAAUAAGUGUUUCGGCGCAAAUUGGGUGCGAAGCGAAAUUAUAAAGAAAAUUGCGGAUUUCCGACUGCUAAACUUUUGAUUAAAGAUAAAGGAGCAAAAGUAAUAUAAAAUCGUAUGAUAUCACCAUUUGAUUGGAUUAAGGGUGUAAAACAUAAGUCUGGAAUGAACUCGUGUUGAAACGGAUAGCGAAAACCAGAAGAUUUAUGAUUUUGUAAGAACGGACUUGAGCAAUUAGCAGAAAAUUGCGACAUGUCAAAAAUUAUGAAAAUUGGGCAGACGAUGUUCAGGAAUUUUUUAUGAGCUAUAGUUUGAAGUUUCAGAUUAUUUCUGACACCCGACGAGAGAAAUUGAUCCGAAAGCUAUCGUGAUAAAGAUUCAGUCGGUACAGUUCGGCACAUGACCAAAACGGGUCCGGAACUGAAUGUUAAAAUUUUUUUGGACUUGUUUAAGUAAAACCGACAUGCCUGUCAAAAUUUGAGCUCAAUCGACAAUUUGAAGACGGAAGUAAUUUGAAAUCCCGUUCCUAAGUUGUAAUACUCGAGGCAAAAUGGUAAUAUCCUAAGGCUUAGUGGAAUUUCCACUAAACCUGCCAGGCAGCCCCUCCACUCCUAUCCUUCACCUGCCAUAUUAGAGAGAGAAGAGAGGGACAGAGGAAGAGCAAGAAGAAAAGAGAAGAAAAGAAGAAAAAAAGAAGAAGAAAGAAAGAAAAAGAAAGGAAAGAAAAGAAAGAAAGAAAGGAAAAUAAGAAAAAAAAGAAAAGAACGAGAAGAUGGAACUGAAAUAAAAUGAAUUGCUCGCUAGUUUGAUUUUUGACGCUCCGACGAAUCGCACUUUUGCAGGAUAAAGGUCCUACCUGUAAAUUGAACUAUGUACAAACCUAAUUGAAGGUAAAAGCAACGCGUUGGCGAAGUCCGUCGGCAAAUCCGUCGAGCCUUAUGCAAAGAUAUUCGCAAAAGAAACAUUUUCGCGCCCAAUUGUCGGAGCGGCGGUCGCGACUCGUUCGGAAAAGUGCGAGAAAGUGAUUCUCGCAAUUCCGUCAUCAAAGUAAGGUGGUGGCUUUCCCGAAGUGAUUACGGUUCCUUCCUGCCAAAGAAAAUAUGGUUUUCAUAUGCGCUAUAUGACUAUGAUUUCGACAUCAUGGACUAAUGGUCUAAUAUAUAUGUAUAUGAAUAGCUACAUUGAUAAAUGGAAUAUAUGAGCAAUUAUGAUCAAUACUAAUGAUGUAUAAUAUAAUCCGAUGAGAACAUGCUAUAGGCAUAUGNNNNNNNNNNNNNNNNNNNNNNNNNCAGUACCAAGUAAAGGUGGGUUGUGCUUUACCGAAGUGAUUAGGUCACUUCCAUGCCAAAGUAAAAUAUGGUUUCAUUUGACGCAUAUAUGACUAUGAUUGUCGACAUAUGGACGUAAUGCUAAUAUAUAUGUAUAUGAAUAGGCAUACAUGAUUGAUGAUAUAUGAAUGCAUUAUGAUCAAUGCUAGAUGAUGUAUAAUGAUAAUCCGAUGAUGAACAUGCUAGAGGCAUAUGAAUAUGUUGUAGAUCAUGCUAGAUACAUAUAAUUGUCGAUAUGUGAACGUGAAAGUUAAAUGCAUAAUUAUGCUAAAUUCAUAUGUUCAAAUACAUGAUAUAUCAAUGUUGAACCUGUAAAUGCCAAGGGCAUGGCACGUAAGCUGAAUACGAAUUGUGAACAUAGAAGCUAAAGCCUACAUAAGUGUUGCCACAUAAAAGUGGAAGUUUAAUGCCUAUGUCUAAACAUAUAUAUAAGUGAAUGUAUUAUAGUUCAAGCUAUAUGAAUGUCGAUAAUUCUAAUUGACUGGAAAUCUCGAUGGUAACAAGAUGAGUGAGAAUAUGAAAACUAUGAACCUCAUGUUAAAUCCCUAAGAAUUGGGUAUAAAUCGACAACUCCAGUUGAGUAGAAAUCUUGACGGUGACAAAGUAAAUGAAAAUGUGCAAAUUAUAAUCCUAGGCGUAGAUAACUAGGAUAAUAAAUAGAUCGAGUGGCAUGAACCUAUUGUAUAAACAUAGGUCGAACAUGAACCUAGUGUCAUUGGAUAUAGGUCAAGUAAGUAAACCUAGAGUUGAGAUCUAGGUGAUAUGACAUAGAACCUAGUGUGAUUGGAUACCUAGGUCGUGACAUAUUGUAACACUUAGUAAAAUUGGACUAAGUUAUGGAGUAUAGUGGUAGAAAGACCACAUAAAGAUGAUUGAUUUAGACCUAGAAAGGUUGUCGAAAUAGGGUAAAAGAGUAAACCCUUAAGUUAUGUGAAAUGGAUUCCGGAAUCUCAAGAUCUGUGAUAACCUUGGUAUCAAGGCUAGGGCGUGUGCGACAAUUUCGCCGCCGAGGUUGAUACCAAGGGAGGAUUGGGUGUGUGCGACGAUUUUGCCGCCCAGGGGCUUGAACCAUUGUUCGGCGUGUGCAACGAUUUCGCCGCCAGAUGGUUAAGCAAGUUUGUGGAUCCUACCGCCUGUUGACUGAACCACUGUAGUGGCGUGUGCGACGAUUUCGCCGCCGGGUGGCUAAGUCAUACACCUAGGCCGUUGUUGGGUGAGGUGCGAUCCGUUCGCCGCCAGACGGCUAGGACAGGAGUAGGGUGAGCUGUUGCCAGCUGAGGUGCAUGUGAGAGUUCCUUCACCUCGAGCUAGACAGUGCGCGGACUAUCCGCGAUUGAUUGACUCAAGACCGAGUCGGGUGGCUAGAUGACUAAGGUAAAGUAACCUUAGGAAAGAAUCGCCAGUGAGCACGAUAUGAUAGAGAAUAAAGAAUAACAAUAAAGAAUAGCUAAUGACCGUAAAUAGCUAAUAAAGAACGGCUACAAGUAAAGAAUGGUUAAAGAUAUAAAGUAGGAUCGGUAGAUCUACUUGUUACAUAGUUGCAUGAUUUACAUAUUGCAUAUCGCGAGGCAAGGUAUGGUUUUAUUAAUUGUAUCAUCGAAUAUUUAUCUAUCUGUUCAGUUUACUAACCUGCAGUUGCCUCCUUUGGACCUNGACGGACACGAUGCGAUUUGGGUGAUAAUGGAUCGACUGACGAAGUCGGCUCAUUUCUUACCGAUUCACACUACGUGGUCGGGAGACAAGCUAGCUCAAGUGUAUCUCGACGAGGUUGUGAGACUUCAUGGGAUUCCGGUAUCAAUUGUAUCGGAUCGAAACCCCAGGCUCACAUCCUACUUUUGGAAGAGCCUGCAGGAUGCGCUAGGCACAUGGCUUGACUUUAGCACAGCGUUUCAUCCUCAGAGUGAUGGUCAGUCGGAGCGGACGAUACAAAUCCUUGAGAAUUUACUCCGAGCGUGUGUGCUAGAUUACAAAUGAGGAUGGCAUGAUUUCUUGCCAAUGGUGGAGUUCGCGUAUAAUAACAGUUAUCAAGAGAGCAUCGCGAUGGCGCCAUUUGAGGCACUAUAUGGUCGAAAGUGUCAUUCUCCUAUUCAUUGGAGCGACGUGGGCGAGAGAACGGCUCUUGGCCAGGAUGUAGUGCGGGAGGCGGAGGAGAAAGUCCGCCUUGCCCGUCAACGGUUAGCGACGGCGCAAUCAAGGCAGAAAAGCUAUGCCGACAAGCGAAGAAAGGACUUAGAGUCCGCGGUUGGAGACCGCGUAUUUUUAAAAGUGUCACCAAUGCGAGGAGUCAAGCGUUUUGGGGUCCGCAGGAAGUUAAGUCCCCGUUAUGUUGGACCAUUUGAGAUACUAGAGCGUGUGGGUGCGGUAGCGUGCAAGCUCGCACUACCACUGAGACUCGCGGGAGUUCACAACAUGUUUCAUGUGUCAAAUCUCCGAAAGUAUAUUCGCAACUCGACACAUGUAUUGGAGUACGAGCCCGUGAAGCUACGUGAAGAUAUGACUUAUGAGGAGUACCCAGUGUGCAUCCUCGAUAGAGAAGAAAGAAAGCUACGAAGUCACAGAAUUCCAUAUGUAAAGGUUCAAUGGAGCAAUCAUGCUGUGCGAGAAGCCACUUAGGAGCUCGAAGAAUCAAUGCGGAAGGAGUAUCCGCAUUUAUUUGAGUCGACAAGUUAAGGUAUGCGUAAUUUCGCGGACAAAAUUAUUUUAAGGGGUGAAGAAUGUAAUAUACAAAAAAUUCGAAAAAUAAAUGUCGAACUUUAGUCAAAAUUGACCAAAGUAUGAGGUUGGUACACUUCGGAAAGUCCGAAGGCGUUAAAAUGAGUAAAAGUGCAUUGCGGGAGGUUUUCGAGAGCUAAAGAAUUAAAAAUCUGCAAACUGCAGUUUUUGGACUCUCGGGGACCGGUCCCUGGUAGGAGAGGCCGGUCCUCGAACGCGUGAGAAAUGAGAAAAGCUUAAAAUCGGCUAAGUCCCAGAAAACCAGCUCUCGGGAACCGGUCCCUGCGGGGAUAGACAGGUCCCCGAGAGACCGGUCCCUCUGGGAGAGACUGGUUGCCUCGUGCGAAAGCCCCGCUGAGCUGCGGGAGGGCUCUCUGGAAUCGGUCCCAUGUCGGGGAGACCGGUCCCCGAGCACGAAAACUGCCCAGAUCUGGCAGUUCAAGAGAAUAAAAGCUGAGGGGUUUAUUUGCAAAAAUGCAACCCAUGGGUUAUGUUGAGGGGUUAUGAGGGCUCUUUCUCUCAUUCACACCCUCUCACAAUCUCUCCUCUCUUUCUCUCUCUAGAAGACAAGAAGGAGAAGAAGAAAGGAGAGGAAAAAAAGAGAAGAAGAAGAAGACAAAGGUAGUGGAGAAAAAGACCAAGGAGUGGAGCAACUCUUUCUUCUUCCUCUUUGGAGCAAAGAAAGGGAAAGAUUUUAGAUAAGCUUUGACCCUUUCCAUGGUAAAACCCUAGAAUGAGAACUAAAUGACCUAGGAAUGGUUUUGGUAGAGCCUUUUGGGUAUUUCAAGCUUUCUUUUGCUUGUGGAUGAGAUCAAAACUAUGGAAUGGGUAAAUAUGGUGAAGCUUAGAGGUGAGCUUCAACCUCUCUCAUGGUAGAAUCCAAACUAGAGUUUGGAUUGAGCUAAGAAUGGUUUAAAUGGAACCUUUAGAUGAUUUGAAGCUUACUUUUGCUUCUCUAAGAGAUCAAAACCCUAGUUUUGAUGUGGGAUGAGGUAGGGCACCCAAAUUUGGGGCUUUUGCUUGUGAGGGUUCCAAAGUGAAAUUGAUCCUCUAGAAACCUAAUUGGGAGUAUUUCCGAUGCGUUGGUACGCUCGAAUUGACGUUACGAAAAGCCUAUGUAAAGUUAUGAGCAAAAAAGCCUAAUUUGGCUUCGUUUUGCCGCAGGUAGCGAACUAGGCGGCUAAAAAUCUCGAGAAAAUCACCGUAGCGCCUAAGUAAGCCUACAAGGUGGGUGGUGCUCUCCAAACUUGUUGGAAUUUUUUUUAUAUCUAAUGUGUCACUUCUUGAGCAUACAUAUGUAUAUUGUUGCAUGCAUAGUAGGGUAAUGGAUUAUAAAUAUGUGAAUGUUUGCAGUUUGUGAGUUCAAGUGCAUCAUGAGAUGGUUGAGAAUCAAUGAGAAUGUAAUAACCCUAUAUGUGCAUGUAAAAGAGAUAAGAACUUAGUGAAGUUAAAGAACAAGUGACAUAUGACAUGAGGACAAUGAAAUGUGAGAAUGAAAGCUAAAGAUAGCAAAAAGAUUGACGUAAAGAAUACUAGAGCUAGUGUGUGGCAUCAAAGAGAACAAAUGUGGUAUAAAGAAUGAUAAAAACUAGAGUUAGCAAAUGUGUGGCAAUAAAGAAUGACAAUUGCUAGAGUUAGCAACAAAAUGUGGCAUAAAGAACAAUGACUAGAGAUAGCAAUAAAUGUGUGGCAUAAAGAACACUAGAGUUAGUGUAAAGACGUGAUGAAAGUAAAAAAUGUAAAGAACACUAGAGUUAGUGUAUUGACAUGGUCGAAAAUAAAGAAUGCAAAGAACAUGAGAUUGACACAAUGAUAUUCAACCUUAGAGUUAAAGGUCAUUUGUGCAUAAUUUCUUAGAGUUAAGGAACAGAUUGAACUGAAUAUCCUUAGAGUUAAGGAUUGAUCAUACUCGCUAUAAGUCCUUGCCUGAGGGUGGUCGCUCCCCCUCGGGCGAUGCGCUCCGGAGUUUGUCAUCAUUGGGUUGAGUUACUCAGAGGACGGUCCUAGCGGGAGAAAGCUGAGGGCCCGCGAUCAUGGAUUUUGAGUUGGUGAGUUAAGGAGGCGAUACCUCCGGGUUAGCCUAGAGAUUGAACGAAAGAACAAGAACAAAGAAUAAAGAACAAAGACCAAGCAUUCUUCAUGAGUUAUAUUGAGCACCAUUUUUUAUCACAUUGUUCAGGCAUAUUAGUUACAUUUGUAUAGUUGGCUACUUUUCAGCUUAUUCUUUCUAUUAUGCCUGAGUUAGACCUAGUGGGAAAGUCGGUGAGAUUGGGGUCGAACCCACUGGGAACUUCGUUGUAGUUCUCACCCCACUAUUUCCACAGAGUCGGGACCGAGCGAGCCGGCGAGCGACCGCGGUAAAGGUAUCGCGCCAUAGACAGUGACUACCCGAGUCGGGUUUACAUUUUGUAGUAGCAUUCCCGUACUUCAUCUUUGUGUUUGAUGGGUUGAGAUGUAAAAGAAAAAGAAUGUAAUGUUUAUCUCGAGGAGAAUGUGAUGUUAAAAGAAAUGAUGAAAAGUAUGUAAAGAACUACGAAUGUACAUGUUAAAUGCAAUGUAUGUGAUCAAAAGAGAAUCAUAGUACUUGUGUAGAUAUUUAGUUUCCUUUCUUUCACUCAUGGCUAUUGCUUACCCUCGUGUAAGCCGUUUGUGUAUGUUUCCGCUAGUGCUUUUCUCUGCUCGAAAAUGUACAGGUGAUGAGCCUUGGGCGGGGAGGAAAAACUCUGUCCGUUCGAUGUCUGUUUGACGUGCCCGGGCCGGCCCAAAUUGGUAUCGGUCUCGGGGCGUGACAUUUGACCUCACCGAAAUCGGUGGACUCCUCCUAUGUCUUCCUUAUGGUUUUAAGAUAUAUUUAUAUGCUUAUUCAUGCUCAAUAUGACAUGCUAGAAUUUAUGAAAACAUAAUACAUACAUGUUAUAUAUAGUAAAAUUUAAUGCUCUAUGUAGUAGAGGCAUACAUGUGGACAUGUACAUGAACUAGCAAUACUUGAUGAUUUUCUCUCUUAUGCAACCAUAGAAAGCAUGUUAGAGUAUGAAUGAUUGUAUAACUCUUUGGGGAUACCUAGUGAAUGGGUUAAAUAAGUGGUUAACUUACAUGAUGACAAUACUAUACUUGUUAUAGACAAGGUGAUUGGAACUUAGCAUUACUUGCAUGAUAAUAGUAUACUUGUUGUAGACAAGGUAAUUGCGACAUUGUGACAUAGUGCAUGAUAAGGUCUUCAGGAAGCUAAACUUGGUGCAUUCAACCUAGUUGAACAACUUGAAUUUGACAUUAUGACAUAAUAUCCGAUAUAAAGAUAUAGAUUAAAUUCCAUGUUUUAGACAUGAGGAAAUGAGAUUACAAAGUCUUUGGGGUAAACCCCAAUAGGGAUAAUUGCAUAUUAUACUAGUGGAAUGAAACUACUUGCAUCAUAAUGCUUCUACUCCAUGUAGUGGGGAUGUUAGUGGAAAGAUGUAUGCAUGACAUGCAUUGUGGUAAUUGUGGACAUAUCAUAACUCUUUUGCAUAUAACAUUAGUAAAUGUUUCACUUGACAAUUAUUGUAAUUGCAUGUUGAAAAUCUACUUGGAGACUUGAAUAAAAUAGUGAACUAUUCUAGGUAGGAUAAUGACAUACGGACUAUGCUUGCUUUAGGCAUUAUAUGUGUUGGUAGAGACAUACCACCCAAGUAGUUGUAAACAAGACAAGAUAUGAUAUAAAUAAUCUAGUACCCGACUGUCGAGUCGAUGUGUGAAAAUUCUAUGUUUUAGACAUGAUGAUUGAGUAUCCCAAAUUGUGGACCCUAUGCUAGGAUCACGCUUGUUUGUCCUUGUGCUCAUUCGCACAUACUUAUGAGGGUCGCUCUCUACAAGCCGGCUCUCCGGAGUUUAUCUUACGACGAUAGAUCGCCCGUGCGGGAUUAGGCACCGAAGUGGGAUGCCAUGGCUAGUGUCUCUUUUCUUGCAGGGAAAAUGACGACCACCACGGGGCCACUAAGGCACGGCACGAGCCCGGAUGUUACCACAUGUACGUUUCUUGUAAAUUGAGUAUUGAGACUUAACUUGACAUUGUACAUCACCAUAGUUGAUGCAUACAUAGUAGAUGUUCAUACUUGUGGUUUGCUAUCUUAUUUUACUACUUGAUGCAUUCAUAGUAGUUGGACAUUUUGUGGGACAUUAUAACAUUGACAACUUUAGUGGUAGUAAACCUACACUUAUAUGGUUUAGUAUAAUGCAUGGCUAGAAUUGUAAAGAAAAGCAUACUUUACUUUUUGUAGCAUAAUGGAUAUAUUGAACAUGCAUGUAAAUUGACAUUGGCAUAUAGUUGAUUGUGCAUGUAAAUUGACAUUGGCAUAUAGUUGAUUGUGCAUGUAAAUCGACAUUGGCAUAUAAUUGAUCAUAUGAAAUUAGAAUAUCAUGUACUUGAUAGUAAAUCCUUCAGUAGAGGCAUGACUAUGAAAUGAACAUGUUUAUUUACUUGUCAUUUAUAUAUGUUGUCUACUUACCCCUUUAUAGCAUGCCUCAGUUGACCUAGUGGUGUAUUUCACCACUUUCGGCGGCUUACCCACGAGGAACUAUUGUUUAAUAGUUCUCACCCCAAUUUGUUGUUGGUUUUUAUUUCAGAGCCUUCCGCGGCGGGAGAGACUAGGGAUCGUAGCAAGGGGUUAGCGACAAGCUAGAGCCCUACGAAGAUAUUUAGAUGAACCCGAUGUCAUCUUUCUUUUUGUAUUUGUGGAAAGAUGUAUUAUGUAUUUGAUUUAGAGAUAUUGUUAGACUUUUGGAUUUAGUCGUAUACUUUUUGUAUAUCUUGUGGAUCUCUUUGUGAUAGAUCAUUAGUGAUUUUUUAUUACUCGUUCUUAUAGCCUUAUUAGGACUUGAUCUUGUUCAUUCUUGUGUUAGUAGACGCCUUAUAUAUACAAGGACACGUUAAAGGAGUCGCUCUCAAACGCAUAUUGGUUGAUCCAGGAUCUGCAAUUAACAUACUUCCGCUUCAAACAUUGCGAGUAUUAGGGCAUUCGGUUGAUGAUCUUGAACUAGAAAAUGUCGUUAUUUCAGGGUUUAAUAAGUCUGAUGAACAUACCUUGGGUUCAAUCCGGUUAAUGCUCUCUUUACAAGAGCUAAAAACACUGAUGAGAUUUUAUGUUAUUGAUGUCGACACCUCUUACACAAUGUUACUAGGGCGACCCUGGAUCCCUGAGUUUCAAAUUGUGCCCUCGAUUCUUCAUCAAUGCCUCAAGUACAAAGAUGAACACGGCCGACAAAAGAGAAUUUCUAGGAAUCCGAACCCUUUCUCUUGGAAACUUUCCCAUUAUUCUGAUGCUCAAUUCUUUUUAGAAGCUGCUCCAUCAUCUUCAAGGUUAGCUUUUAAUCUAAACAAAAAGAAAUAUGCCAACAUUCCACCUCCAGCAAUUAAUAUGAUCAAUGCUAGCUCAUUUCGAACCUUUCAGCAAGAGAAAAAUGUUAAACGUGAUUGUCGCCAAAAUCUUAAUGAUCCCAUUUUAUUGGGGAGUGACUUCGAGGAUGAGAGUAGUACACAUUUUCAAACAAUGGCAAUUUUUGUGUCAAAAGUCCCGAUGAGCUACAAAAUUUUUCAUUCCCUCUUUCAAGUCGAAUGUCAACAACCAUAGAAGAUGUUUGUGUUCGAGUUAUCCGUUUGACUAUACCGGGGUGCAAACCUAUAUUGCUUUACAAGACUUCUAAAGAUGUGAGGUAUUCUGAACCCUUUCCAUUAGAAGAGGAUGAGGAAAUGUCAACAGUCGCCAUUGUAACAUACCAGAUUUUGGUAUAAAAAAAAAAAAUAAAAAUAGUGUGAGAAGCUAUUUUUAUUGGAUUUAAAGAAGUAAAAUAUAAGUCAGAAAUGACUUGUGCUGAAAUCGGAAUGAAAACAGAAGAUUUAGAAUUUUCUGUUGGAAACGGGCCAGACAAAUUAGCAGAAAAUGCACAGUCUCAGAAAAUUAUGAAAAUUGGAGGAUAAGUUAGAAAUAUUUUUAUGAGGUUAGAUUUAAAGUUUCAUAUUUUUCUGACACCCGUAGAGUGAGAAAUAAAAUCCGACAGCUAUCUGAUAAAGAUUACAGUUCGGUACAGUUUUCAGUGACCAAACAGGGUCGAAACUGAAAAAUUAAGAUAUAUUCUUACUCAGUACAUUAAACCGAGCCUGUCUGUUAAAUUUGAGCCCAAACGGACAUUCAGAAGGGCUCCAACUGUUCCGAACUGCUAAACUGCCCUAGAGUGAAUAGUGUUUUGGGGUGUAAUGUAUAAAGAAGCUUUUGCUUCUUCUCCUUCAGCCGACCACCAUGCACGCCACCACCAACCCGCAUACAUGGUGGGGAGAGAGAAAGCUCCUUUCUCUCUCUAGAUUUCUCUCUCAUUUUUCUAUAUUUCUCGCUCAAAUUCGCGGGGUUGGUGGAGAUGAUGCUUGCGAACGCGUUGGGAGCGAUGGAUCGAGCUUUUGCGCGGCCGUUGGAGCGGCGUGUUCUCGUCGUGGCGUUCACAUUGAGGUAAGCUUUUGAGAUUUGGCUUAAUCCUUUAUGCUUAGUGUUCUAAUAGCCUCUAAUGUGUUGAUUAGCAUGUUGAAUCCAUUUAAUUUGGGUUAAUUGGAGCAUGUGUAGAGGCUAGGCUUUUAAAAAUGGUAGAACCUUAGAGCUUUAAUUAUAUGCUCUAGGAAUGGGUUUAGAGGACUCUCUAUAUGAUAUCUACAUGCUAAUUGCUUAAAUCAUGAAUCAAUUUUGAAGCUUAUUACAAUAGUAGCAUGUUAGGGCUCCAAUUUUGGGGUUUUAUAAAAUGUAUGGGUUUGAUCUAAAUUGACCCUAUAUAAACCUAAUUGCUAGGUAAGCGAACGCGUUGGCAAAGUCGGUUCGGCGAUUCGUCGAGCCGUUGCGAAGUUAUUAAAGAAACGGACGUUUAGGCUUCGUUUUCGCCUGGAGGGCCGAGGCGACAUCGUAUACUCAUGAAAACGGAUUUGAAGCAUCGUGGCACAUAACCAAAGACCUUUAAUUUUCGGAUCGUGAAUUGGAGGCCGUUCGGGUUGUCGCGAGAGAGAUCGGGCCAAACCGGGUGCCGAGUGCCGCGGGAGGCCGAUUGCAAGUGUCGACAAGCAAUUGGAAUGCGAAAUGAGGUGGGUUGUGCUCACCGAAGCGACUAGGUCGCCUAUAUGUCUAAGAGUAAUGGUUUUCUAAUUGAUGCAUAUAGUCGAUGUUACUUACUGUUGAGAUAAAAUGCAUAAUGACAUAUAAUGUGUUAAAUGCUAGAUGAAUGCAUGAGUUAAUUGUUACAUGAAUGCAUGAAAAUAAUGUUAUAGUAAUAUGUUAGAGGUAAUAUGCAUGUUGAUAAAUUAUGGAACAUGUUGGAUGGCAUAUGAAUGGUUGGCAUAUAUAUGUAGACAUAUUGUGGAAUAUGAUGAAUGAGUGCAUGUUGAUUUAUUGUAGAAUAUACUAGAUGAAUGUAUAUUGACAUAUUGUGGAUUAUGUUAAAUGACACAUGCAUGUUGAACUUGGGUCGAUAAACUCUAGGUGAAUUAGAGAACUCGACAUUGGAAAACAAUGACAUAUGAACUAUGAUAUGUGACGUGGACAAUCUAUAUAUAUUAGAUCGAGUGGCAUAUGAUUAGUAUAGUGGAAACACUUAUGGCAUGUUGAACACUUAGAAAACAAGUGUGGCGUGAGUCCAAGAAUAUAGUAGUGUAUAUGACACAAGUGAUAGUAAAGAAUGAUGGAAAUAAUGACAUUUCAACCCUAGAGUUAGGGUCAUUUGAGCAUAGUCUUCCUAAAGUUAAGGAAUGAAUUGAACUCGACAUCUUCAAGAUUUUGGAUUUGAUCAUUGAUCAUACUCACCUUUAGUCCUUGCUCGAGGUUGUGGUAGCUCCCCCUCGGGCGAUGUGCUCCGGAGUCGACAUCACUGGGUUGUAGCGGUUAUCUCCCCAGAGGACG
rnacentral:lncRNA from 1 species